rnacentral:rRNA from 1 species
UACGUAGGUGGCAAGCGUUGUCCGGAUUUACUGGGCGUAAAGAGCGCGCAGGCGGUCGUCCAAGUCGCGUGUGAAAGCCCCCGGCUCAACUGGGGAGGGUCACGCGAUACUGGUCGACUCGAAGGCAGGAGAGGGUAGUGGAAUUCCCGGUGUAGUGGUGAAAUUCGUAGAUAUCGGGAGGAACACCAGUGGCGAAGGCGACUACCUGGCCUGUUCUUGACGCUGAGGCGCGAAAGCUAGGGGAGCAAACGGG